rnacentral:rRNA from 1 species
GGCCGCAAGGCUGAAACUCAAAGGAAUUGACGGCGGCCAGCACAAGCGGUGUAGCAUGUGGUUUAAUUCGAUGCUACGCGCAGAACCUUACCAGGGCUUGA